CACGUAGGGCGCAAGCGUUGUCCGGAAUUAUUGGGCGUAAAGAGCUCGUAGGCGGUCUGUUACGUCUGCUGUGAAAACCCGGGGCUUAACCCUGGGCUUGCAGUGGAUACGGGCAGACUAGAGGCAGGUAGGGGAGAAUGGAAUUCCCGGUGUAGCGGUGAAAUGCGCAGAUAUCGGGAGGAACACCGGUGGCGAAGGCGGUUCUCUGGGCCUGACCUGACGCUGAGGAGCGAAAGCCAGGGAGCAAACGGGAUUGAGACGUACCCGACGUAGUCCAA
rnacentral:rRNA from 1 species